rnacentral:rRNA from 1 species
UACGUAGGGGCAAGCGUUGUCCGGAUUUAUUGGGCGUAAAGAGCGUGUAGGCGGCCAGACAGGUCAGCUGUGAAACUCGAGGCUCAACCUCGAGACGUCGGUUGAAACCGUCUGGCUAGAGUCCGGAAGAGGAGAGUGGAAUUCCCGGUGUAGCGGUGAAAUGCGCAGAUAUCGGGAAGAACACCCGUGGCGAAGGCGGCUCUCUGGGACGGUACUGACGCUGAGACGGCGAAAGCGUGGGGAGCGAACAGG